CGCGGCCUAUCAGCUUGUUGGUGAGGUAAUGGCUUACCAAGGCGACGACGGGUAGCCGGCCUGAGAGGGUGACCGGCCACACUGGGACUGAGACACGGCCCAGACUCCUACGGGAGGCAGCAGUGGGGAAUAUUGCACAAUGGGCGAAAGCCUGAUGCAGCGACGCCGCGUGAGGGAUGACGGCCUUCGGGUUGUAAACCUCUUUCAGUAGGGAAGAAGCGAAAGUGACGGUACCUGCAGAAGAAGCGCCGGCUAACUACGUGCCAGCAGCCGCGGUAAUACGUAGGGCGCAAGCGUUAUCCGGAAUUAUUGGGCGUAAAGAGCUCGUAGGCGGUUUGUCGCGUCUGCCGUGAAUGUCCGGGGCUCAACUCCGGAUCUGCGGUGGGUACGGGCAGACUAGAGUGAUGUAGGGGAGACUGGAAUUCCUGGUGUAGCGGUGAAAUGCGCAGAUAUCAGGAGGAACACCGAUGGCGAAGGCAGGUCUCUGGGCAUUAACUGACGCUGAGGAGCGAAAGCAUGGGGAGCGAACAGGAUUAGAUACCCUGGUAGUCCAUGCCGUAAACGUUGGGCACUAGGUGUGGGGGACAUUCCACGUUUUCCGCGCCGUAGCUAACGCAUUAAGUGCCCCGCCUGGGGAGUACGG
rnacentral:rRNA from 1 species